rnacentral:ncRNA from 1 species
CCACGUCCCGGAGCACAUCCCCCCCCGGCGCCGGGACUUUCCCCGAGUCGGGCUUCGGCGCCCCUCCCCCUGGGUGCCGGGGCCCGGCUCGUUC